rnacentral:rRNA from 1 species
GGACGCGAAGAACCUUACCUGGGCUUGACAUACACCGGACCGCAUCUGAAAGGAUGCCUCCCUUCGGGGUCGGUGAACAGGUGCUGCAUGGCUGUCGUCAGCUCGUGCCGUGAGGUGUUGGGUUAAGUCCCGCAACGAGCGCAACCCUCGCCCUUAGUUGCCAUCAGGUUAUGCUGGGAACUCUAAGGGGACUGCCAGUGAUAAGCUGGAGGAAGGUGGGGAUGAUGUCAAGUCAUCAUGCCCUUACACCCAGGGCUACACACGUACUACAAUGGCCGGUACAGAGGGCUGCAAGACUGCAAAGUGGAGCCAAUCCCUAAAACCGGUCUCAGUUCAGAUUGAAGUCUGCAACUCGACUUCAUGAAGGUGGAAUCGCUAGUAAUCGCAGAUCAGCACGCUGCGGUGAAUACGUUCCCGGGGUCUUGUACACACCG